CAGCAGCCGCGGUAAUACGUAGGGUGCAAGCGUUAAUCGGAAUUACUGGGCGUAAAGCGUGCGCAGGCGGUUCGUUAAGACAGAUGUGAAAUCCCCGGGCUCAACCUGGGAACUGCAUUUGUGACUGUAUAGCUAGAGUACGGUAGAGGGGGGUAGAAUUCCACGUGUAGCAGUGAAAUGCGUAGAUAUGCGGAGGAACACCGAUGGCGAAGGCAAUCCCCUGGACCUGUACUGACGCUCAUGCACGAAAGCGUGGGGAGCAAACAGGAUUAGAUACCCCCGUAGUCCCUGUCUCUUAUAC
rnacentral:rRNA from 1 species